AAAGUAAGGAGAAGUUGGAAAGGAAGUUGCCUGGCCACUGAUGAAGCUUCACUGAAAUUUAAAAUGGUAACCAGUGAGGAACAGCAAGGAAGAAGUGGAGGCUGAGCUUGUGAGCUGCUUUGACCGACGUCCCCUCUUCAGCCUUCUCGGUAUUUCUUUACCCCUCUGGAUUCCCCA